GCCAUUGCUAUUGGGAUCCGAUUUAGCCAUGCUAGUCGCACGAGUUCAGACUCGUGGCGAAUAGCUCAGUAACACGUGGCCAAACUACCCUUCGGAACACAAUACCCUCGGGAAACUGAGGCUAAUAGUGUAUACCAUACCACCACUGGAAUGAGUGGUAUGCCAAACGCUCCGGCGCCGAAGGAUGUGGCUGCGGCCGAUUAGGUAGACGGUGGGGUAACGGCCCACCGUGCCAAUAAUCGGUACGGGUCAUGAGAGUGAGAACCCGGAGACGGAAUCUGAGACAAGAUUCCGGGCCCUACGGGGCGCGGCAGGCGCGAAACCUUUACACUGCACGACAGUGCGAUAGGGGGAUCCCAAGUGCACAGGCAUAGCGCCUGUGCUUUUCGGUACCGUAAGGUGGUACCAGAAUAAGGGCUGGGCAAGACCGGUGCCAGCCGCCGCGGUAAUACCGGCAGCCCAAGUGAUGGCCGAUCUUAUUGGGCCUAAAGCGUCCGUAGCUGGCCGCGCAAGUCCAUCGGGAAAUCCACCUGCUCAACAGGUGGGCGCCCGGUAGAAGCUGCGUGGCUUGGGACCGGAAGGCGCGACGGGUACGUCCGGGGUAGGAGUGAAAUCCCGUAAUCCUGGACGGACCACCGGUGGCGAAAGCGCCUCUGGAAGACGGAUCCGACGGUGAGGGACGAAAGCUCGGGUCACGAACCGGAUUAGAUACCCGGGUAGUCCGAGCUGUAAACGAUGUCUGCUAGG
rnacentral:rRNA from 1 species